UACGUAGGGUGCGAGCGUUGUCCGGAAUUAUUGGGCGUAAAGGGCUCGUAGGUGGUUUGUCGCGUUGUUCGUGAAAUCUCACGGCUUAACUGUGAGCGUGCGGGCGAUACGGGCAGACUAGAGUACUGCAGGGGAGACUGGAAUUCCUGGUGUAGCGGUGGAAUGCGCAGAUAUCAGGAGGAACACCGGUGGCGAAGGCGGGUCUCUGGGCAGUAACUGACGCUGAGGAGCGAAAGCGUGGGGAGCGAACAGG
rnacentral:rRNA from 1 species